UGCCCCAUAGCCAAGUGGUAAGGCAGUGCGCUCUGACCGCAUUAUGCGUUAGUUCGAAUCUAACUGGGGCAGCCA
rnacentral:tRNA from 1 species